rnacentral:rRNA from 1 species
AUUGAACGCUGGCGGCAUGCUUUACACAUGCAAGUCGAACGGUGACAGGGUGCUUGCACCGCUGACGAGUGGCGAACGGGUGAGUAAUGCGUCGGAACGUGCCGAGUAGUGGGGGAUAACGCAGCGAAAGUUGUGCUAAUACCGCAUACGUACUGAGGUAGAAAGUGGGGGACCUUCGGGCCUCACGCUAUUCGAGCGGCCGACGUCUGAUUAGCUAGUAGGUGAGGUAAAGGCUCGCCUAGGCGACGAUCAGUAGCGGGUCUGAGAGGAUGAUCCGCCACACUGGGACUGAGACACGGCCCAGACUCCUACGGGAGGCAGCAGUGGGGAAUUUUGGACAAUGGGCGAAAGCCUGAUCCAGCCAUGCCGCGGGAAGAAGGCCUUCGGGUUGUAAACCGCUUUUGUCAGGGAAGAAAAGGUUCUGGUUAAUACCUGGGACUCAUGACGGUACCUGAAGAAUAAGCACCGGCUAACUACGUGCCAGCAGCCGCUGUAACAC